rnacentral:lncRNA from 1 species
CUGUGGCCAUUGAUUGACACAUUAAAAUCAUCCAUUGACUGGGACAAUUUACGUGAACGUUUGUCUGUAACGACCACUGUUCACGACGUACCUACGAUAGACAUUUAAACUGUGGGAUCACCAAAGGUUUCUUAACGCCUUUAAUUAUAAAAUAAUUCGAAAAAUUAAUCAGGAAUAACCUUUGUGUUUUGAUUUAUAUAAUUGAUAUAAAUCAAAAUAUCGUGUUAUUUCUGAUUAAUUUUUCGAAUUACUUUAUUUAGUGUUUGAGAA